rnacentral:rRNA from 1 species
UAGAGUAUGAUAGAGGAAAGCAGAAUUUCUAGUGUAGAGGUGAAAUUCGUAGAUAUUAGAAAGAAUACCAAUUGCGAAGGCAGCUUUCUGGAUCAUUACUGACACUGAGGAACGAAAGCAUGGGUAGCGAAGAGGAUUAGAUACCCUCGUAGUCCAUGCCGUAAACGAUGUGUGUUAGACGUUGGAAAUUUAUUUUCAGUGUCGCAGCGAAAGCGAUAAACACACCGCCUGGGGAGUACGACCGCAAGGUUAAAACUCAAAUGAAUUGACGGGGACCCGCACAAGUAGUGGAGCAUGUGGUUUAAUUCGAAGAUACGCGCAGAACCUUACCAACACUUGACAUGUUCGUCGCGACUCUAAGAGAUUAGAGUUUUCGGUUCGGCCGGACGAAACACAGGUGCUGCAUGGCUGUCGUCAGCUCGUGUCGUGAGAUGUUGGGUUAAGUCCCGCAACGAGCGCAACCCUCACUUUUAGUUGCCAUCAUUAAGUUGGGCACUCUGAAAGAACUGCCAGUGAUAAGCUGGAGGAAGGUGGGGAUGACGUCAAGUCCUCAUGGCCCUUACGUGUUGGGCUACACACGUGCUACAAUGGUAUCUACAACAGGAAGCAAGACUGCGAGGUCAAGCAAAUCCCUAAAAGAUACCUCAGUUCGGAUUGCACUCUGCAACUCGAGUGCAUGAAGCUGGAAUUACUAGUAAUCGUGGAUCAGCGUGCCACGGUGAAUGCGUUCCCGGGUCUUGUACACACCGCCCGUCACACCAUGGGAGUUGGUUCUACCUUAAGGCAAGGUUUAAAACCCUUGACCACGGUAUAGUCAGCGACUGGGGUGAAGUCGUAACAAGGUAGCCGUAGG